UACGGGGGGGGCAAGCGUUGUUCGGAAUCAUUGGGCGUAAAGCGCACGUAGGCGGCGAAGCAAGUCGGGUGUGAAAGCCCGGGGCUCAACCCCGGAAUAGCCUUUAAGACUGCAUCGCUUGAACACGGGAGAGGUGAGUGGAAUUCCGAGUGUAGAGGUGAAAUUCGUAGAUAUUCGGAAGAACACCAGUGGCGAAGGCGGCUCACUGGACCGUUGUUGACGCUGAGGUGCGAAAGCGUGGGGAGCAAACAGG
rnacentral:rRNA from 1 species